UCGCCUGGACGACCCACAGACUCAUGAUGUUCCCACUGAGCCAGGAGGAGAGCGCGCUGCAGUGUCCAGGCCGACCCACCCACUCAACACGCAACUCUCCCUCAAGAAGUGCUUUGCACGUGUCGGAGGCAGCGGCGGUUCCUGAUGGGACGGAAGCGCAUCUAAAACACCGACAGACGAAUCGGACAUGAACAAAAUCAGAAAUCGAUCGAUCAAUCACCAAAAGAAGUUAUCAAUCCUUUAAAGAACAUUUCUCCACAGAAAAUUCAAGAACGUUUCAAGAAUUUUAAAAACUUUUUCAGCACCAAACAGAGAUAAAAACUAUGCAAAUGAACUAAAAAAGACAGUUUAAAUGAACUCAGAUAUAAUAUUGUUAUUAAUAAUGCCUUAUGAUAGUAUUCUACAUUCUACAGCAGGGAAAUGUAAACUGAAAUAUAUUUUUUCUUUUACUUUGAAAUGUCUCACAAACAUAGGGCAGACUGAAAAAAAGUCUCCCAAUUUCAUUAAUGUUUCAAAUACAAGCCAAUUUUUAUUUCAAAUAAACAGAUCAAUAAGUAAUUGAGCUAUUAGGAAUAAUAAAUAUCAUUGCUCUGGAAAACAUUAAGAGACCACCUAAAAUCACAAUUUCUCUGAUUUUACUCUUUAUAGGAACAUGUUUGAGUAAAAGGAACAUCGUUCUUUUAUUCCAUGAACUACUGACAACAUGUCUCUGAAA